rnacentral:lncRNA from 1 species
GGGAGAGGCCGCUUACUCUCUGUCCUUUCCCCAGAUGGUGUGGUCCUGGUGGAUCCUGAGUAUCUCAAAGAGCGGAGAGUCUAUGUGACGCUGACCUGCGCCUUCCGCUAUGGCCGGGAGGACCUGGAUGUCCUGGGCCUGACCUUUCGCAAGGACCUGUUUGUGGCCAACGUACAGUCGUUCCCACCGGCCCCCGAGGACAAGAAGCCCCUGACGCGGCUGCAGGAACGCCUCAUCAAGAAGCUGGGCGAGCACGCUUACCCUUUCACCUUUGAGAUCCCUCCAAACCUUCCAUGUUCUGUGACACUGCAGCCGGGGCCCGAAGACACGGGGAAGGUAGGUCACCCCAAGGGGACCAUCUCUCUGGCUCCAGGAGUCUCAUGUCCCCAGGUCCCUGGCUUUCUCCCUGGGAGGUGCUGGACACACAGGACCACUCUCCCUGUUGAACAGUCUUUGUGUCUAGGCUAAGCUGGUCCCACCUUGGACAACCAGUCUCUCUUCAGACAGGGCAGCAGGUACGGGGUCAGCCUCACUCUCCCAUUCAGUGAUGGGUCUGGAGGCUCUCCUGGGUGGCGUUGGCUGCAACAGGACCAAAGUGUUCUGAGGACCUACACCUGGCCUCAUGUAACCCCUGGCAACCUGGAAUCAAAGUGCGAUCAUCCCCAUUUCACAGAUGGGGAAACU